rnacentral:pre_miRNA from 1 species
UCUCAUGAAUGAACAAAGAAGUGGUUUCUUGAGAUGGAACCUACUCCUCCUGAAGUUGCUGUGAA